AAUGACGUUUUAUUCUUCUAUAGAAACGUGAGUGUUAGCCUACGAGUCAAUAGGUGCCAUCAUCGUACAGUCUACAUGUAUGUCGUACCCAAGUUUAUUAGAUCCAUGUCGCACAGUGUGACCAGCAAUGAUCUUAUAGGAUUGCUAAAAUCAUGCAGUGUGUAGAAGGCUUUAAAGCUUCUAGUGAGUCUGAAGACCUUUAUUAGCUGGUUCAAGUGUGUUUAAUUAGAGUUGGAGUUAAGCGUUGUAAGAAGUUGGCCCUCCAGGAACAGGUCUGGACAAGUGGUCUACCGAUAUUGUGUUUUUUUUUUUUUGGACAGCCUGUCAGGGUUCAGGUAGAGGGAUGAGGCCAGGACUCGAUGCAGAGAGAAGGGCUCUUUAAUAGUAAAAAAUAAGAUAAACAAACAAAAACUAGGGAAAACAGACAAAACUUGACUGGCAAGGCACGAGGAACACAGACAAAUAUUUGACGACGAACUAACAACCAGACUGCGAACACAAAGAGAAUAAAUAGGGAGCUAAUGAGGAGGUUAAAGAGGGAACACAUGUGGGGAAAAUUACAUCAAUAAUCAGGUAACAAGAUGGGUGGGGUCAAGACAAUUGACAAGGGCACAUGGCACAUCGGCACCAAGACAAAAGCCAUGUGCUUACACAAAACAAAAACACAAGCACAUGGCCAGCAAACCAAUCACAAGCCAUGUGCUUGAACUAGACACAAACACGCAGCUAAUGAGCAAACUCAUAAGCCGCGUGUUCACACAAGACAGCACGCAGCCAGCGAAAACCAAGCUGCGUGCAACAGCACAAGACAAAAUAUAACAAGAAAGCACGCAGCCGAUAACUUGAACUGCGUGCAACAAUACAAGACAACACUGGAGACCGCACACUCCCACAACAAGACAGAACAUGGAACGCGAGUGUCCGGUCCCCGACACGAAACCGAAACUCAGCAAGACAUGAGUGCCGGGAUCCGAACACCACGCUCCAACAUGAAACAAGACACGCAGACGAGAGCACACGGCUCGAGCAGUCUCGAAGCCGCGCACUCACAUUAAAACAAUGACAUGAUGCGAGUGUCAGGGCUCUGUCACAAAACCAUGAAUGACACUAGACAGAAGUGACAGAACCCUGACACAGCCAACGCUGAUAUCUUGGAAUACAGGGGGCC
ensembl:lncRNA